rnacentral:rRNA from 1 species
GACGAACGCUGGCGGCGUGCUUAACACAUGCAAGUCGAACGGAAAGGCCCUGCUUUUGUGGGGUGCUCGAGUGGCGAACGGGUGAGUAACACGUGAGUAACCUGCCCUUGACUUUGGGAUAACUUCAGGAAACUGGGGCUAAUACCGGAUAGGAGCUCCUGCUGCAUGGUGGGGGUUGGAAAGUUUCGGCGGUUGGGGGUGGACUCGCGGCUUAUCAGCUUGUUGGUGGGGUAGUGGCUUACCAAGGCUUUGACGGGUAGCCGGCCUGAGAGGGUGACCGGCCACAUUGGUACUGAGAGACGGCCCAGACUCCUACGGGAGGCAGCAGUGGGGAAUAUUGCACAAUGGGCGGAAGCCUGAUGCAGCAACGCCGCGUGCGUGAUGACGGCCUUCGGGUUGUAAACCGCUUUCGCCUGUGACGAAGCGUGAGUGACGGUAAUGGGUAAAGAAGCACCGGCUAACUACGUG